UACGUAGGGUGCAAGCGUUGUCCGGAUUUAUUGGGCGUAAAGAGCUCGUAGGCGGCCUGGCGCGUCGGAUGUGAAAACUUGAAGCUUAACUUCAAGCCUGCAUUCGAUACGGCCAAGCUAGAGGAUGUCAGGGGAAACUGGAAUUCCUGGUGUAGCGGUGAAAUGCGCAGAUAUCAGGAGGAACACCGGUGGCGAAGGCGGGUUUCUGGGACAUUACUGACGCUGAGGAGCGAAAGCGUGGGGAGCAAACAGG
rnacentral:rRNA from 1 species